rnacentral:rRNA from 1 species
GGCCAGACUCCUACGGGAGGCAGCAGUGGGGAAUAUUGCACAAUGGGGGGAACCCUGAUGCAGCGACGCCGCGUGGGUGAAGGAGUGCUUCGGCAUGUAAAGCCCUAUCGGCAGGGAAGAAGCAAGACGGUACCUGACUAAGAAGCCCCGGCUAACUACGUGCCAGCAGCCGCGGUAAUACGUAGGGGGCGAGCGUUAUCCGGAUUCACUGGGUGUAAAGGGAGCGUAGACGGCAUGGCAAGUCAGAUGUGAAAGCCCGGGGCUCAACCCCGGGACUGCAUUUGAAGCUGUCAGGCUGGAGUGCAGGAGGGGGAGGCGGAAUUCCUGGUGUAGCGGUGAAAUGCGUAGAUAUCAGGAGGAACACCGGCGGCGAAGGCGGCCUGCUGGACCGCGACUGACGUUGAGGCUCGAAAGCGUGGGGAGCAAACAGGAUUAGAUACCCCCGUACA